UACGUAGGGUGCGAGCGUUGUCCGGAAUUAUUGGGCGUAAAGGGCUCGUAGGCGGUUUGUCGCGUCGGGAGUGAAAACCAGGUGCUUAACACCUGGCUUGCUUUCGAUACGGGCAGACUAGAGGUAUUCAGGGGAGAACGGAAUUCCUGGUGUAGCGGUGAAAUGCGCAGAUAUCAGGAGGAACACCGGUGGCGAAGGCGGGUCUCUGGGCCGAAACUGACGCUGAGGAGCGAAAGCGUGGGGAGCAAACAGG
rnacentral:rRNA from 1 species